rnacentral:rRNA from 1 species
UGCAGUCGAGCGGUAGCACAGAGAGCUUGCUCUCGGGUGACGAGCGGCGGACGGGUGAGUAAUGUCUGGGAAACUGCCUGAUGGAGGGGGAUAACUACUGGAAACGGUAGCUAAUACCGCAUAAUGUCGCAAGACCAAAGUGGGGGACCUUCGGGCCUCAUGCCAUCAGAUGUGCCCAGAUGGGAUUAGCUAGUAGGUGGGGUAACGGCUCACCUAGGCGACGAUCCCUAGCUGGUCUGAGAGGAUGACCAGCCACACUGGAACUGAGACACGGUCCAGACUCCUACGGGAGGCAGCAGUGGGGAAUAUUGCACAAUGGGCGCAAGCCUGAUGCAGCCAUGCCGCGUGUGUGAAGAAGGCCUUCGGGUUGUAAAGCACUUUCAGCGGGGAGGAAGGCGAUAAGGUUAAUAACCUUGGCGAUUGACGUUACCCCCAGAAGAAGCACCGGCUAACUCCGUGCCAGCAGCCGCGGUAAUACGGAGGGUGCAAGCGUUAAUCGGAAUUACUGGGCGUAAAGCGCACGCAGGCGGUCUGUCAAGUCGGAUGUGAAAUCCCCGGGCUCAACCUGGGAACUGCAUUCGAAACUGGCAGGCUAGAGUCUUGUAGAGGGGGGUAGAAUUCCAGGUGUAGCGGUGAAAUGCGUAGAGAUCUGGAGGAAUACCGGUGGCGAAGGCGGCCCCCUGGACAAAGACUGACGCUCAGGUGCGAAAGCGUGGGGAGCAAACAGGAUUAGAUACCCUGGUAGUCCACGCCGUAAACGAUGUCGAUUUGGAGGUUGUGCCCUUGAGGCGUGGCUUCCGGAGCUAACGCGUUAAAUCGACCGCCUGGGGAGUACGGCCGCAAGGUUAAAACUCAAAUGAAUUGACGGGGGCCCGCACAAGCGGUGGAGCAUGUGGUUUAAUUCGAUGCAACGCGAAGAACCUUACCUGGUCUUGACAUCCACAGAACUUUCCAGAGAUGGAUUGGUGCCUUCGGGAACUGUGAGACAGGUGCUGCAUGGCUGUCGUCAGCUCGUGUUGUGAAAUGUUGGGUUAAGUCCCGCAACGAGCGCAACCCUUAUCCUUUGUUGCCAGCGGUUMGGCCGGGAACUCAAAGGAGACUGCCAGUGAUAAACUGGAGGAAGGUGGGGAUGACGUCAAGUCAUCAUGGCCCUUACGACCAGGGCUACACACGUGCUACAAUGGCAUAUACAAAGAGAAGCGACCUCGCGAGAGCAAGCGGACCUCAUAAAGUAUGUCGUAGUCCGGAUUGGAGUCUGCAACUCGACUCCAUGAAGUCGGAAUCGCUAGUAAUCGUAGAUCAGAAUGCUACGGUGAAUACGUUCCCGGGCCUUGUACACACCGCCCGUCACACCAUGGGAGUGGGUUGCAAAAGAAGUAGGUAGCUUAACCUUCGGGAGGGCGCUUACCACUUUGUGAUUCAUGACGGGG